rnacentral:rRNA from 1 species
GACGAACGCUGGCGGCGUGCUUAACACAUGCAAGUCGAACGGAAAGGCCCUGCUCUUGUGGGGUGCUCGAGUGGCGAACGGGUGAGUAACACGUGAGUAACCUGCCCUUGACUUUGGGAUAACUUCAGGAAACUGGGGCUAAUACCGGAUAGGAGCUCCUGCUGCAUGGUGGGGGUUGGAAAGUUUCGGCGGUUGGGGAUGGACUCGCGGCUUAUCAGCUUGUUGGUGGGGUAGUGGCUUACCAAGGCUUUGACGGGUAGCCGGCCUGAGAGGGUGACCGGCCACAUUGGGACUGAGAUACGGCCCGGACUCCUACGGGAGGCAGCAGUGGGGAAUAUUGCACAAUGGGCGGAAGCCUGAUGCAGCAACGCCGCGUGCGGGAUGACGGCCUUCGGGUUGUAAACCGCUUUCGCCUGUGACGAAGCGUGAGUGACGGUAAUGGGUAAAGAAGCACCGGCUAACUACGUG